rnacentral:rRNA from 1 species
CCUACGGGCGGCUGCAGUGAGGAAUAUUGGUCAAUGGUCGGGAGACUGAACCAGCCAAGCCGCGUGAGGGAUGAAGGUACAGAGUAUCGUAAACCUCUUUUGUCAGGGAACAAAUGCGGGUACGCGUCCCCGCAUGAGCGUAUCUGAAGAAAACGCAUCGGCUAACUCCGUGCCAGCAGCCGCGGUAAUACGGAUGAUGCGAGUGUUAUCCGGAUUUAUUGGGGUUAAAGGGUGCGCAGGCGGUCUUUUAAGCCGGCGGGCAAAGCCCGGGGCUCAACCCCGGGCCGGCCGUGGAAACUGGAAGUCUCGAGUUGGAGAGAAGUAUGCGGAAUGCGCGGUGUAGCGGUGAAAUGCGUAGAUA